rnacentral:sRNA from 1 species
UUCCUCAUUGCUGAAGGUACACACACUUU